UACGGGGGGGGCAAGCGUUGUUCGGAAUUGCUGGGCGUAAAGGGCUCGUAGGUGGCCAACUAAGUCAGACGUGAAAUCCCCAGGCUCAACUUGGGAACUGCGUCUGAUACUGGAUGGCUUGAAUUCGGGAGAGGGAUGCAGAAUUCCAGGUGUAGCGGUGAAAUGCGUAGAUAUCUGGAGGAAUACCGGUGGCGAAGGCGGCAUCCUGGACCGAGAUUGACACUGAUGAGCGAAAGCUAGGGGAGCAAACGGG
rnacentral:rRNA from 1 species